CAUGGCUCAGAUUGAACGCUGGCGGCAGGCCUAACACAUGCAAGUAGAGCGGUAGAGAGAAGCUUGCUUCCUUAGAGAGCGGCGGACGGGUGAGUAAUACCUAGGAAUCUGCCUGUUAGUGGGGGAUAACGUUUGGAAACGGACGCUAAUACCGCAUACGUCCUACGGGAGAAAGCAGGGGACCUUCGGGCCUUGCGCUAUCAGAUGAGCCUAGGUCGGAUUAGCUAGUUUGUGAGGUAAUGGCUCACCAAGGCGACGAUCCGUAACUGGUCUGAGAGGAUGAUCAGUCACACUGGAACUGAGACACGGUCCAGACUCCUACGG
rnacentral:rRNA from 1 species